rnacentral:rRNA from 1 species
GACGAACGCUGGCGGCGUGCCUAAUACAUGCAAGUAGGACGCAGUUGCGAACGGGUGAGUAACGCGUAGGUAACUACCUGUUAGAGGGGGAUAACUAAUGGAAACGAUAGCCAAUUCCGCAUACUUGUAGAUGGACCUGCGUUGUAUUAGCUAGUAGGGAGGGUAAGGGCCUACCUAGGCAACGAUACAUAGCCGACCUGGGAGGGUGAACGGCCACACUGGGACUGAGACACGGCCCAGACUCCUACGGGAGGCAGCAGUAGGGAAUCUUCGGCAAUGGGGGGAAGCCUGACCGAGCAACGCCGCGUGAGUGAAGAAGGCUUUCGGAUCGUAAAGCUCUGUUGUUAGGGAAGCGGUACUUAAACAGAAAGCGACGGCUAACUACGUGCCAGCAGCCGCGGUAAUUC